rnacentral:rRNA from 1 species
GACGAACGCUGGCGGCGUGCUUAACACAUGCAAGUCGAACGGAAAGGCCCUGCUUUUGUGGGGUGCUCGAGUGGCGAACGGGUGAGUAACACGUGAGUAACCUGCCCUUGACUUUGGGAUAACUUCAGGAAACUGGGGCUAAUACCGGAUAGGAGCUCCUGCUGCAUGGUGGGGGUUGGAAAGUUUCGGCGGUUGGGGAUGGACGCGCGGCUUAUCAGCUUGUUGGUGGGGUAGUGGCUUACCAAGGCUUGGACGGGUAGCCGGCCUGAGAGGGUGACCGGCCACAUUGGGACUGAGAGACGGCCCAGACUCCUACGGGAGACAGCAGUGGGGAGUAUUGCACAAUGGGCGGAAGCCUGAUGCAGCAACGCCGCGUGCGGGAUGACGUCCUUCGGGUUGUGAACCGCUUUCGCCUGUGACGAAGCGUGAGUGACGGUAAUGAGUAAAGAAGCACCGGCUAACUACGUG